rnacentral:rRNA from 1 species
GAAAGAUGGCUUUGGCUAUCACUCUGGGAUGGACCUGCGGUGCAUUAGCUAGUUGGUAAGGUAACGGCUUACCAAGGCGAUGAUGCAUAGCCGAGUUGAGAGACUGAUCGGCCACAAUGGAACUGAGACACGGUCCAUACUCCUACGGGAGGCAGCAGUAGGGAAUCUUCCACAAUGGGCGCAAGCCUGAUGGAGCAACACCGCGUGAGUGAAGAAGGGUUUCGGCUCGUAAAGCUCUGUUGUUGGAGAAGAACGUGCGUGAGAGUAACUGUUCACGCAGUGACGGUAUCCAACCAGAAAGUCACGGCUAACUACGUGCCAGCAGCCGCGGUAAUACGUAGGUGGCAAGCGUUAUCCGGAUUUAUUGGGCGUAAAGCGAGCGCAGGCGGUUGCUUAGGUCUGAUGUGAAAGCCUUCGGCUUAACCGAAGAAGUGCAUCGGAAACCGGGCAACUUGAGUGCAGAAGAGGACAGUGGAACUCCAUGUGUAGCGGUGGAAUGCGUAGAUAUAUGGAAGAACACCAGUGGCGAAGGCGGCUGUCUGGUCUGCAACUGACGCUGAGGCUCGAAAGCAUGGGUAGCGAACAGGAUUAGAUACCCUGGUAGUCCAUGCCGUAAACGAUGAGUGCUAGGUGUUGGAGGGUUUCCGCCCUUCA